AGAGUUUGAUCCUGGCUCAGGAUGAACGCUAGCGGCGGGCUUAAUACAUGCAAGUCGAACGGUGUAGCAAUACAUAGUGGCGGACGGGUGCGGAACACGUAUGCAACCUACCUGGGGGCGGGGGACAACGGGAAGAAAUUCCCGCUAAUACCGCAUGAGACCGCCGAACCGCAUGGUUUGGCGGUAAAAGCCUUCGGGCACCUUUAGAUGGGCAUGCGUCCGAUUAGCUGGUUGGCGGGGUAACGGCCCACCAAGGCGACGAUCGGUAGCUGGCCUUAGCGGGUGGUCAGCCACACGGGGACUGAGACACGGCCCCGACUCCUACGGGAGGCAGCAGUGGGGAAUAUUGGGCAAUGGGCGAAAGCCUGACCCAGCGACGCCGCGUGGGGGAUGAAGGCCUUCGGGUCGUAAACCCUUGUUAGGGGGAACGAUGGGCUUGUGAGCUAAUACCUCGCAGGCUUGACGGUACCUCCAAAGAAAGCCCCGGCUAACUCCGUGCCAGCAGCCGCGGUAAUAC
rnacentral:rRNA from 1 species